CUCUAGUAUGACCUCUCCGGUGACAUUGAAGAUUGGAGGACUGGGCAAAGGAUUUUCCACAGUCAUCACAUUUAUAAGGUUUUUCUCCAGUAUGGGUUCUCCUAUGGCAUUGAAGAUGGGAGGACUGGACAAAAGACUUUCCGCAGUCAUCACAUUUAUAAGGUUUCUCUUCAGUAUGGAUUCUUCGAUGAACAUGAAGAGAUGAUCCAUCCCUAAAGUACUUUCCACAGUCAUCACAUUUAUAAGGUUUCUUUCCAGUAUGGAUUCUCCUAUGACAUUGAAGAGUGGAGGACUUACCAAAGGACUUUCCACAGUCAUCACAUUUAUAAGGUUUCUCUCCAGUAUGGAUUCUCCUAUGACACUGAAGAUGGGAAGACUGGACAAAGGACUUUCCACAGUCAUCACAUUUAUAAGUUUUCUCUCCAGUAUGGAUUCUGUGAUGUACAUGAAAAGAUGAGCACCUCGUAAAGAGUAUGUCACAUUUAUCACAUUUAUAAGGUUUCUCUCCUAUAUGGAUUCUGUGGUGAACAUGAAGGGAUGAACUUUUUCUAAAGGAUUUUCCACAUUCAUCACAUUUAUAAAGGUUCUCUCUCAUAUGGAUUCUGUGAUGAAUAUGAAGGUAUGAAAGAUUGCUAUAGGACUUUCCACAAUCAUUACAUCUGUAUGGCUUCUUU